rnacentral:lncRNA from 1 species
AACACCUUGCCCACCUUCUGCACACCAAGCGUGGAUUCUGCAAAAUGUGAGCCCAACAGGAAGCUGCCUGCAAUUUCAGGUAGCUUUUCUGACUCUUAAAGAGAUCUCAAGUAUACUUUCAGAGAAAUGCCAGCAAAAACUGUAGUCAUUCGGGAAGGAAAAAGUCUGGAAGAAAAAGAUACAGUGAACUACUAGCACAACGAGGAGUUUGAAAAGUUCAUGACAGCUCACAGUUCACGAUGGUGGCGAUCUUAAGGAUACAGAAAGCUCAUUCCUCAUGCAGGGAAGAAGAAAAUAUUCUAAAGAAGAGAUAAGCAUAUUCCGCGAAAUCAAAAAAGUCUUCCUCUCCACCAAGUGUGGUGUGUGUGUGUUGAAACUUAACAUCUGGAAUGGAGGUGGAAGGCAAGACCGAGAGAGAGGAGAUGGCGUCAGAGAGCUCCUAGCAGGUAUGUCAAGGCUCUGAUCCAACCUCUGGGCUAGAAGAAACCUCCAGCAGCUCUCUGAGGCAGGAGUAUAAGGAAACUCUAAGCUCUGCAGUUCUGCUG